AGAGUUUGAUCCUGGCUCAGGAUGAACGCUGGCGGCAUGCCUAAUACAUGCAAGUCGAACGAGGGUCCUUCGGGAUCCUAGUGGCGAACGGGUGAGUAACACGUAGGGAACCUGCCCGCGCACCGGGAAUACGCUCUGGAAACGGAGAACAAAUCCCGAUGUACAGGAAGGAGGCAUCUUCUUUCUGUGAAACAUCCUGUAAGGGAUGGGGCGCGGAUGGACCUGCGGUGCAUUAGUUGGUUGGCGAGGGUAAAGGCCCACCAAGACGAUGAUGCAUAGCCGGCCUGAGAGGGCGGACGGCCACAUUGGGACUGAGACACGGCCCAGACUCCUGCGGGAGGCAGCAGUAGGGAAUUUUCGUCAAUGGGCGCAAGCCUGAACGAGCGAUGCCGCGUGAGUGAAGAAGGCCUUCGGGUCGUAAAGCUCUGUUGCGGGGGAAAAAAGGCAUCUGCAGGAAAUGGUAGAUGACAGAUGGUGCCCCGCCAGAAAGUCACGGCUAACUACGUGCCAGCAGCCGCGGUAAUACGUAGGUGGCGAGCGUUAUCCGGAAUGAUUGGGCGUAAAGGGUGCGCAGGCGGUCCUGCAAGUCUGGAGUGAAACGUAUGAGCUCAACUCAUGCUUGGCUCUGGAAACUGGAGGAACUGGA
rnacentral:rRNA from 1 species